AAGAUUAAGCCAUGCAUGUCUAAGUAUAAGCAAUUUAUACAGUGAAACUGCGAAUGGCUCAUUAAAUCAGUUAUAGUUUAUUUGAUAAUACCUUACUACUUGGAUAACCGUAGUAAUUCUAGAGCUAAUACAUGCUAAAAAACCCGACUCUCGGAAGGGUUGUAUUUAUUAGAUAAAAAACCAAUGCGGUCUCGGCCGGUUAUUUGGUGAUUCAUAAUAACUUUGCGAAUCGUAU
rnacentral:rRNA from 1 species